rnacentral:rRNA from 1 species
AGUGAACGCUGGCGGUAGGCCUAACACAUGCAAGUCGAACGGCAGCACAGUAAGAGCUUGCUCUUACGGGUGGCGAGUGGCGGACGGGUGAGGAAUACAUCGGAAUCUACUUUUUCGUGGGGGAUAACGUAGGGAAACUUACGCUAAUACCGCAUACGACCUACGGGUGAAAGCAGGGGAUCUUCGGACCUUGCGCGAUUGAAUGAGCCGAUGUCGGAUUAGCUAGUUGGCGGGGUAAAGGCCCACCAAGGCGACGAUCCGUAGCUGGUCUGAGAGGAUGAGCAGACAAACUGGAACUGAGAAACGGACCAGACUCCUACGGGAGCCCACAGUGGGGAAUUUUGGACAAUGGGAGCAAGCCCGAUCCAACCAUACCGCGUGGGUGCAGAAGGCCUUCGGGUUGUAAAGCCCUUUUGUUGGGAAAGAAAAGCAGCAGGUUAAUAACCCGCUGUUCUGACGGUACCCAAAGAAUAAGCACCGGCUAACUUCGUG